rnacentral:lncRNA from 1 species
CUGACAUUAAUCCCAUUCUCCUAAAAUUAAUCCCAUUCUCCUAAAAUUUAAUACCCAGUCUCGGACAUUAAUCCCUUCUGCUGACAUUAAUCCCAUUCUCCCUAACAUUAAUAAUCCCAUUCCGCCUGACAUUAAUGCCAUUCUCCUAACAGAAUCCUAUUAUCCUGUACAUUAAUUCCCAUGCGCCUAACUUUAAUCUCAUUCUCCUAACAUUAAUCCCAUUUUCGCCUAACAUUAAUCCUAUUCUCCUGACAUUAAUCCCAUAUCUCCUAACAUUAAUCCCAUUCUUGCCUAAAAUUAAUCCAUGCUCCUGACAUUAAGCCCAUUCUCCUAACAUUAAUCCCAGUCUCCUAAAAUGAAUCCUAAUUCAUCCUAGACAUAUAAUCCCAUUCUCUGACAUUAAAAUCCCAUUCUCUUCUUAACAUUAAUCCCAUUCUUCUGACAUUAAUCCCCAUUCUGCCCUGACAUUAAUCCCAUUCUCCUCAAAUUAAUCCCAUUCUCCUCCUAACAUGAAUCCAAUUCCUUCUGACAUUAAUCCCAUUUCUUCUUCUUCUGACAU